rnacentral:lncRNA from 10 species
AAACAUGGAUACUGUCAUUGAAAAGGUGAAGUCAUGAAUGUCUAGAAACAUGCAAAAAUCUGAGGAAAUGAGUAUUUGGGGAAAAAUGAAGCAACAAUUAUUGUUCCUUCCUAAGGUUUCUGGAAUCAACAGGCAAAGAAGACAGUUACUGUGCUGAAGAGAGUAACUGAUAUAGAUUACCCAAGGGAAACUGGACUACUAUGCUACAAUGGAGAUCAAGAAGAGUAUGCUAGGAAUACAAGAGAUUCCUUAGGAAGUCCCUCAGUAUGACCAUGUCCUGUAAUUAUAGUGAAUGGAACACUAUAACAACCCAAUUCAGAGAGGGGGCACUGGAAUCUGAGUAGCUGCGGUCAGUGACCCAUUCACUUCAUGCCUGCACUAAUGACUCACAAAAAUACCCAGGACCGCAAGACUCAAGUAAGCUCCCUAGGUGGCAGCACUACUAACAUAUUGCCGCACAUUAUUGCUGGGAAGCACAUCUGUGCAACUCCAUUGGGUGACAUCUGAAAGUCUAUACCUAGUUCUCUUAGAU